GCUGCGGAGGCUCGCGAAAUUUUGACAGACUGCGAUAAAAAAUACAAAAAAACAAGAUUUGUGUAUUUUUUCAUCGCAAGCUGUCAAAAUAUCUUAAUAUAGAAUUUGCUUUUGUUAUGCAAUAUUUGAAAUUCGAAUGUAUGUAAUGAUUAUUUACAGUGCGCCUAAACAAACCCGGAUUCAGUCGCAACGGCAGAGGAUUGUACAGCUGGAGAAAUGAUAAAAAUCGUUCCGACUUACUAUUUUUCAAAGCCGCUAGAGCAGUCUUUUCCGUUAGUGGUAGAAGCAGGAAACAUCGAUCUACCUCAGCAGUUUGCCUCAAUAACAACAACGUAUGACCUAGUCUACAUCCGCAACUAGUGCAAACGAUCCAAGCCAAUCAGGGCAGAUGUAGAAGACCAUUGGCCAACUUUGGCAGUUGCAGCAGCAAACAAAUCAGAACUAUGAUCACCCAUCCGCAGAAAACGAUAGAGCUACAGCAUCGGUCAAACACAGUAGCAUACGAUACUGUACCGUACCGCGUGCAGGAGGUCCUUUAAUUCAGUUGGUGCAGCAAGAUCGAGCAGCAACCAUAGCGGCUACAGAUCCAGUGGACACAUCACCGAACACCAUCAACCAUCCAGCAGAAGAACGCGGUGAUAAUGGGUCAGCAGUAAACACAACGGCAAAAUGCUUGGAAAGGACUUUCUCUCGAACAAACAACGGAAGCCUACACGCACGACAUGUUCAAUCGGGCCAACCGUGUGACUCGUUUAGAAAAAGCGCUCAUCAUCGGUUUCAUGGCAGCGAGGUGAGCAGACAAAAGAAGGCAUCGUUUUUUCAGCAAGGUCGCUGUGGGCAAAAAUUCCGCGAAUUGCGAGGAAUAAACCACCGAAGGGACAGUACCCGUGCUGAAUUAGGCCGUUUUCCCAUACAUUGCAGCUAUUGAAUUUAAUACCCGGUCAAAACGAUGGCAUUUCUGCACUCGCUUCAAAAAAAUUUAAUUCACCAGCGACGGUUACUCCCGUAGAAACGGCUGCACUGCAGUUUUGAGCUCGCGGUAGCUACAAAAAUUCUGACUAGCGGCUCCUGAAGAAAAACAAGCUGCAUGCGAAAUUGGAGAAACAGCUUCCUCCACGGAAGAUGCAGAGGAAUUCAACAUGGCGGAUGCAAGUUUGCAAUUGAAAAUUAUUCGCAAAGUUCUGGUAGAAUCAAAACUUGAUCUGGAGGUGCAGCGAUAGGAUCCUUCUUUGCCGCUAUACUCAGUUAAAACUUUAGAAGCUUUACGCCUGAAGCCGGAACUGCUUCAGGGAGUCUGUGUUUCAACGCCCCUUCCAAGAUUCAGGAGACGGCUCUACAUACUCUGUUGGCCGAUCCGCCACAGAACAUGAUCGCCCAGUCAGUCGGUAACAGAAAAAACCAAUGCUUUCGUGCUGGCAGUUCUCAGUUGAGUCGAUCCGUUAAAAAACUCCGCAGGUGAUGUGCCUUUCCCCCCCACAUGAACUGGCAAUUCAGAAGGGGGAAGUAGCUGCCAAAAUGGCAAAGUUUUGUCCGGAAAUCAAACUUCGUUACGCCGUUCGCGGUGGAGAGAUCGUCAAAAGUGCGAAGCUGAUCAUCAGAACACCCGGCAAGCUGAUGGGCUGCAAUAUAAAGUUCCGGGCUUUCGACAUUAAGAAGAUUGCCGUUUUUGUACUGAUUUUUGCACGUUAUGAUUCAUCCGGAUACACAAGCAACUGUCGUCGUCUUGCCAGAUGAUGUUCUCGGUCACAUACGAGCGGGAAGUGAUUGAGUACGCCGUAACCAAUCCCAUCGUGAUUUGGCUGGCGCGGGAGCAAGAAUCACUCGAUAACACCAAAAAGUACUACGUCAUAUGCCACUACCAGGACGAGAAAUAUCAAGCAAUUUCGAACAUUACCGUGAUUACCGUCGGACAAGCGAUCAUUUUCAGUCAUGAGUGUAGGACAGUGGGGAACAAGGCGCCGGUAAACAAACAAUUAAAUGCAAUAGUUUCAGUACAAACAUGUCAUGUUUCAACAUAGUCCCAAACCCCCACAUGUCAAAUUGUUACAUUUUGUCAUCCCCUCUAAAAGUGUUACAUAAUUUAUUAACGGUCCCUAAAUUUAUGUAUUUCAAUAGCAGCAUAUACUGAUC